rnacentral:lncRNA from 1 species
ACAAUUUAAAAAUUUAGGGUGUGUUUGGUAUAACAGAAAAUAUUUUCCGUGGAAAAUAUUGUCUUGAAAUAUAAGUAGUGGUAAUCUUACUCAUUUCACAAUGUUUGAUACGCAAAUUAAGGAAAAUAAAGAGUAUUCAUAAAUAAUUUAGAUACAAUAAACAUGAAGCCAUAAACUUUCGAACCAAUGACCUUCCGAACCCACAAAUUUCAUAAACUUCUGAACCGCUAAACUUUCGAAACCGCGAACUUUCGAACCCGUAAACUUCCAAACACAUAAACCUCCGAACUCAUAAUUUUGGAACUUGUAAUAUUUCGAACCUGUAAAUCGAAAGAUGAAAAAAAUUAAAACUAAAAUAUAUUAAAAAAGUUUUUUUGGGGGGGUGGGGGGUUUAUGCAGAAAAACGAAAAAAAUAGAAAUUUGAAACUACAAAAAAAAAGGUUAAAAAAAACCUUUUUUUGCGGGUUUGGGGGCAGUGGUUGGGGUGGGUGGUGCAGAAAAACGAAAAAACAGAAAUUUGAAAAUACAGAAAAAAAGUAAAAAAAAAACCUGAAAUUUGGAAAAAAAAAAUAAAGGAAGCCUUUUUGGAGAGAGGGGUUGGGAGAGGUGGGGUUGGGAUUAGAUGUGUGGUAAGUGGAGUUUUUGGAAAAUAUUUUCCUAAUUUUUUAUAAAGAAGUCAUUUUCCUCGAAUUUCAGAAAAAUAUGAUAUCUAAAAAAAUAUUUUCUAAACUAUUUUAUGCAACCACACAAUGAAAAAAUGGAAAAAAUAUUUUCUGUCGUACCAAACACACCCUUGGCAUAAAACUCAAUGGAUGUUAUGCUGAGGAUACAAAAUCUCCAAAGUAUAGCCAGCAUGUGAUGACUCUCUUCUGAGUGGUUAAAUUAAUUGACAUACAUAACAAAUAAAGUUUAGACUUCCUAGUAGAAAAAGGAGAUCAUUUUCCAAGUAGAAAAAGGAGAUUAUUUUAGAAGGGUCAGAGAAAAUGAUAAUAUAUAGUGCAAACUGUACUAGUUUUAAACAAUCCUAUCCACCACCUCUGAGACCAUAUAUAUGCAUGAAAG